rnacentral:rRNA from 1 species
AAAUGAAUAGACGGGGGCCCGCACAAGCGGAGGAACAUGUGGUUUAAUUCGAUGAUACGCGAGGAACCUUACCCGGGCUCGAACGGUACAUGAACGAUCAAGAGAUUGAGAGGUCCUUCGGGACAUGUAUCGAGGUGCUGCAUGGUUGUCGUCAGCUCGUGCCGUGAGGUGUCGGCUUAAGUGCCAUAACGAGCGCAACCCUUGUUGAUAGUUACCAUCAGGUUAAGCUGGGGACUCUAUCAAGACUGCCGCCGUAAGGUGUGAGGAAGGGGGGGAUGACGUCAAAUCAGCACGGCCCUUACGUCCGGGGCGACACACGUGUUACAAUGGUAGGUACAGAGGGCAGUCAGGUAGCGAUACCGCACAAAUCUCAAAAACCUAUCUCAGUUCGGAUUGGAGUCUGCAACUCGACUCCAUGAAGUUGGAUUCGCUAGUAAUCGCGCAUCAGCCAUGGCGCGGUGAAUACGUUCCCGGGCCUUGUACACACCGCCCGU